rnacentral:rRNA from 1 species
AUACGUAGGGGGCUAGCGUUAUCCGGAAUUACUGGGCGUAAAGGGUGCGUAGGUGGUUUCUUAAGUCAGAAGUGAAAGGCUACGGCUCAACCGUAGUAAGCUUUUGAAACUAAGAGACUUGAGUGCAGGAGAGGAGGGUAGAAUUCCUAGUGUAGCGGUGAAAUGCGUAGAUAUUAGGAGGAAUACCAGUUGCGAAGGCGGCUCUCUGGACUGUAACUGACACUGAGGCACGAAAGCGUGGGGAGCAAACAGGAUUAGAUACCCUGGUAGUCCACGCCGUAAACGAUGAGUACUAGCUGUCGGGGGUUACCCCCCUCGGUGGCGCAGCUAACGCAUUAAGUACUCCGCCUGGGAAGUACGCUCGCAAGAGUGAAACUUAAAUGAAUUGGCGGGG